AGGACGAACGCUGGCGGCGUGCUUAACACAUGCAAGUCGAGCGGAAAGGCCCUUCGGGGUACUCGAGCGGCGAACGGGUGAGUAACACGUGAGCAAUCUGCCCUUAGCUCUGGGAUAGCUCCGGGAAACCGGGGCUAAUACUGGAUAUGAUCUUCGGGCGCAUGCCUGGGGGUGGAAAGUUUUUCGGUGGAGGAUGGGCCCGCGGCCUAUCAGCUUGUUGGUGGGGUGAUGGCCUACCAAGGCGGUGACGGGUA
rnacentral:rRNA from 1 species